rnacentral:rRNA from 1 species
CCUACGGGUGGCUGCAGUGGGGAAUAUUGCACAAUGGGCGAAAGCCUGAUGCAGCAACGCCGCGUGAAGGAAGAAGGGUUUCGGCUCGUAAACUUCUAUCAACAGGGACGAAAGAAAUGACGGUACCUGACUAAGAAGCCCCGGCUAACUACGUGCCAGCAGCCGCGGUAAUACGGAGGAUGCGAGCGUUAUCCGGAUUUAUGGGGUUUAAAGGGUGCGUAGGCGGGCUUUUAAGUCAGCGGGAAAAAUUCGGGUCUCAACCCCGUCCGGCAGUUGAAACUGGUGGCCUUGGGUGGGCGAGAAGAAGGCGGAAUGCGUGGUGUAGCGGUGAAAUGCAUAGAUAUCACGCAGAACCCCGAUUGCGAAGGCAGCCUUCCGGCGCCCUACUGACGCUGAGGCACGAAAGUGCGGGGAUCGAACAGGAUUAGAUACCCCAGUAGUC